CCCUAGUUGUGGGAGCAGACGCGUGGGCACAUUGCGGGCGGGCAGGGCCUGAAGUGCAGCUAUGUUUCCAGUGUCCUCUGGGUGUUUCCAAGAGCAACAAGAAAUGAAUAAAUCUCUGGUGAGUUGUUUAUUUGUUCUUCACUUUGUUUUACACUGUAUUUUCUGAGUUUAUGGGUGUCUGUGAAUUAAAAAGGAAAAGUAGAAAUAAGUAAAACUCAGGUUGAAGGAAAUAUACAUAAAUAAGAUAAAGCUGACCUGUAGAUAUAGGCAGGUUAUAAGAGCUUAGAGUUGUCUAAGUUGAGUGCAAAUUUUCCUCUGAUCUUUCUGAUGCCGAGACAAAAAAGGCAGUCAUGUUUGUUAUGUGAUUGGAAUGGAACCCGAGAAGAGAGCAUGCUGUGUUCUUGUGGGACAGGAAAGCUUGCGUGCACCAAGUCUGAACCACCACCUUCAUUGGUGACAUAGAUUAUGUGCUGGAACAUAUUUCACACCGGCCUGGCAGUAAACACUUGUAGUGUUGUGCAGUGGAAACGGUCAUCUUCCGCUAAAGCACGGCGUGUUGUGCAGCGGAAAUGGUCAUCUGCUGCUAAAGCACAGCUUCCAUCGUAAUGUAUGCUCCUU
ensembl:lncRNA novel transcript